AGAGUUUGAUCCUGGCUCAGAACGAACGCUGGCGGCGUGCUUCAUACAUGCAAGUCGAGCGAGAAAGCAUCCUUCGGGGUGUGAGUAAAGCGGCGAACGGGUGCGUAACACGUGGGCAACCUGCCCAACGGUUCGGGAUAAGCUCUCGAAAGGGGGUCUAAUACCGAAUGAAGUCCGGAACCGGCAUCGGUACCGGAUGAAAGGCGGCCAUCUUCGGAUGGUCGUUGCCGAUGGAUGGGCCCGCGGUCCAUUAGCUUGUUGGCGGGGUAACGGCCCACCAAGGCUGCGAUGGAUAGCCGACCUGAGAGGGUGAUCGGCCACACUGGGACUGAGAUACGGCCCAGACUCCUACGGGAGGCAGCAGUAGGGAAUAUUGCGCAAUGGGCGAAAGCCUGACGCAGCAACGCCGCGUGGGUGACGAAGCUCUUUGGAGUGUAAAGCCCUGUCAGUGGGAAAGAAACGGCCACGCAGGUAAUGGCGUGGCCCUGACGGUACCCGCAGAGGAAGUUCCGGCUAACUCCGUGCCAGCAGCCGCGGUAACACGGGGGGAACGAGCGUUGUUCGGAUUUACUGGGCGUAAAGGGUGCGUAGGCGGGCUGGUAAGUCGGAUGUGAAAUCUCACGGCUCAACUGUGAGCGGCCAUUCGAAACUGCCAGUCUUGAGUACGGGAGAGGAAAGUGGAAUUCCUGGUGUAGCGGUGAAAUGCGUAGAUAUCAGGAGGAACACCGGUGGCGAAGGCGGCUUUCUGGACCGAUACUGACGCUGAGGCACGAAGGCCGGGGGAGCAAACAGGAUUAGAUACCCUGGUAGUCC
rnacentral:rRNA from 1 species